UGAGUCGAACGAGAAAGGGGAGCAAUCCCUGAGUACAGUGGCGUACGGGUGAGUAACACGUGGGUAAUCUAUCCUUUGGUGGGGAAUAACUCUGGGAAACCGGAGCUAAUACCGCAUAACUCCGAGAGGAGAAAGCAGCAAUGCGCCGAAGGAGGAGCCCGCGGCCGAUUAGCUAGUUGGCAGGGUAAAAGCCUACCAAGGCUAAGAUCGGUAGCCGGCCUGAGAGGGCACACGGCCACACUGGCACUGAAACACGGGCCAGACUCCUACGGGAGGCAGCAGUGGGGAAUCUUGCACAAUGGGGGCAACCCUGAUGCAGCGACGCCGCGUGAGCGAUGAAGCCCUUCGGGGUGUAAAGCUCUUUCGGCAGGGAAGAUGAUGACGGUACCUGCAGAAGCAGCUGCGGCUAACUACGUGCCAGCAGCCGCGGUAAUACGUAGGCAGCAAGCGUUGUUCGGAGUUACUGGGCGUAAAGGGUGUGUAGGCGGUUUGGUAAGUCUGGUGUGAAAUCUCCCGGCUCAACUGGGAGGGUGCGCCGGAAACUGCCGGACUUCGAGUGCGGGAGAGGAGAGUGGAAUUCCUGGUGUAGCGGUGAAAUGCGUAGAUAUCAGGAGGAACACCGGCGGUGUAGACGGCUCUCUGGACCGUAACUGACGCUGAGACACGAAAGCGUGGGUAGCAAACAGGAUUAGAUACCCUGGUAGUCCACGCCCUAAACGAUGCAUAUUUGGUGUGGGUCAUUCAGUUGAUCCGUGCCGGAGCUAACGCGUUAAAUAUGCCGCCUGGGGAGUACAGUCGCAAGCUGAAACUCAAAGGAAUUGACGGGGGCCCGCACAAGCGGUGGACAUGUGUCAUUCGACGCAACGCGAAAACUUACCU
rnacentral:rRNA from 1 species